GAGCUCUCUCCUAGAGCCUAAGUGAGGGGAAAACAAAGAGGAAGAAGAGAACCCAUUUGGAUUUUUAGCUACUCAUGAUGAAGGAUUCCAAGAGGAAACUCGUGUUAAUCGAUGAAGAUGAUGAACACGAUGAUGGAGUCCAAGUAAUGGACAGAAAGGGAGAGAAUGUUAUUCUAGAAGAUGAAGACGAAGAGGAUGAUGAGGAUGAUUUGGAUGAGUUUGAGAAUGAUGGGUUUAUAGUUGAUGAUGAGGAGGAAGAGGAAGGCGAAAAAGGUUGGAAAGACAGACAAAAAAGGAAGAAAAAGAAGAAAAGGAAACUAGUAAAUGAUGUGAUUCUAGAUGAUGAUGAUUUUGAGUUGCUCCGAGAAAACAAAAUCUCUGGCGUAGUACACUCCUAUAAUGUCGGAAAUGAAAAGUUCAAGCGGCUCAAAAAAGCUGAAUCUUCUAAGAACACAGCUGAUUUUGGGUUUUCUGAUGACGAUGCUUCAUUAUACGAUGGUGAUGCUGAAGAAGAGGAAGCUGCGUCCAGUGAUAAAGAUGAUGAAAUGGCAGAUUUCAUUGUUUUCGAUGAGUUAGGAGACAAGAAAGGGGUCCCAAGGCAACAAAGGUUGAGAGAAAAUAAGCCACAGCAAGUAACAUUGGCUUCAUCUCUAGAAGAAGCUGGCUGCACGUUUGGCAACGCAGAUGAAAUUCUAAAGCGUCAUCUAGUUAAGAUUGUCAAACCAGAUAACUUUAAUGAGUUUGAGCUGGAUAAUUACAC
rnacentral:misc_RNA from 1 species